CACUUUCCUUGUGUGGAAACGGGGAAAGCAUCUACUCAGCCAGCAUGUACUCGAUCUCAAUUGAUGGAAUAACUGUGAUGGACGAAAUUCACAUGUUCGACCACGCACUGGCUGUACUAUUCAGCGCGUACUACGUUUUCAACAUUGCGUACACAGAAGAGAUUUGCAUCACCUUGGAGUUUAUUCAAAGAUGUCGUUGGGAUCAACCCUGAUCGAGGAACCC